rnacentral:rRNA from 1 species
CUACGGGUCGCUCCAGUGGGGAAUAUUGGACAAUGGGGGAAACCCUGAUCCAGCAAUGCCGCGUGUGUGAAGAAGGCCUGCGGGUUGUAAAGCACUUUCGGUUGGGAGGACUGCUUCUAGCACUAAUAUUGUUGGAAGUUGACGUUACCUUCAGAAGAAGCACCGGCUAACUCCGUGCCAGCAGGCCGCGGUAAUACGGAGGGUGCAAGCGUUAAUCGGAAUUACUGGGCGUAAAGCGCGCGUAGGCGGCUAGAUCAGUCGGGUGUGAAAGCCCCGGGCUUAACCUGGGAACUGCAUCCGAUACUGUCUAGCUUGAGUACAGGAGAGGAGAGUGGAAUUCCACAUGUAGCGGUGAAAUGCGUAGAUAUGUGGAGGAACACCAAUGGCGAAGGCAGCUCUCUGGCCUGAUACUGACGCUGAGGUGCGAAAGCGUGGGGAGCAAACAGGAUUAGAUACCCGCGUACUC